UGGGGAAUCUUGCGCAAUGCACGAAAGUGUGACGCAGCAACGCCGCGUGGAGGAAGAAGGCUCUCGGGUCGUAAACUCCUUUCAGUUGGGACGAAGCUUCGUCGGUUAAUAGCCGGCUGGAGUGACGGUACCUUCACAAGAAGCACCGGCUAACUACGUGCCAGCAGCCGCGGUAAUACGUAGGGUGCGAGCGUUAAUCGGAAUUACUGGGCGUAAAGCGUGCGCAGGCGGUUAUAUAAGACAGGCGGG
rnacentral:rRNA from 1 species